UAUUAAAAAUUUAUCACCAUGGAAGAUAUGAAUGCUAGAAUCCCAAAAAUGUGGUGUUUCAAAAUAACACUCUUUAACAAACAUAUUUCUCUUCAGUGAAGUUUUUAUAACAAGAAACAUCACUGAAGCUUUAGGCUUCCCUUUGAGCUCAACGCAGCUGCCAUUAGGCUCACUGGUUAUGGUUCUUCCCAUAGUUAAAAGUGAUAUUGAUUUUUAGGCUUUUCAGAACUUAGAAUUUCAAUUCCAGGAAACUUUGUCCAUUUUAGGACCAUAAGAUUUGUUACAUUGUAUAUUAAAGAUGAAGGGGUGGGCUCUAUGCUCUCUCAGUAGGUAAGUUAAUUCGAAGGGCCCCCUGGGAUUCCUCUUCAUCAAGGGGUGUUCCACGCCUAGUGUUGUGUCGUAUAUAUUCAUCUCCAAUCGGAUCAACAUCCUUGGAAAACAAGUUUAAGAACAAUUUUAUCGUGAUUGCACCAAGAAUCAACCUGGCUAGAGAAUUUUAGCUCAGACAGGUGAAUAUUAAAGUGACUUUUUUUCUAUUAAUUCUUUUUUCUAUCACCACUUAUGUUUGUCUCUUUUCUUUUUUGGAAAUCCUGGAAUGGCCCUGAAUCUUAGUAGUGUAGGUGAUUAUUUUUCACACAUUUGAACCAUGGUCUGUAAGAAAUACAUUUUGCAUCAUGAACAGUGCACACAUAAAUUUGUGAAUGUGGCUUGAUAUAGAAAUAGGAGGAAAUAUAAAGUAAAAAAGCCUUCAUAAAACAAUACUUACUCUCACAAUAUGUUACAAAAUAUUUUCUGUCAUAUACUAUUCUAUUUCAUGUUUUUAAAGUGCUGGUUAAUACCUAAUGCACUGACAAGGUAUAUUCUGCAGUUUUAAAAACAUUGAUUGAGACUAAGCCUAUCCCAAGAUGUGGAAAUACAACACGACCAAGGGGCAUGACUAUGGAUAACUGUUUUCUACCUUUGCAGGCAGACCAACUGGUAAGAUGUGUGGGAACCAUUAGAAGACUCUUCAGGUGGAGAUGGAUAGCAUGGAAGAUACAAGUUCACUGAGCUGUAAUACACUGGGCACUGUUUCUGAUGUUGGUAAUACAGCAAAGAAGAUAUCAGUUUAGUGAAGAAGAUAGACAAAUACGCGGAACAAAGCACGGCGUAAACAUUGUGGGCAUUUUGAACGGGAAAGAAUUUCCUGCAGAUGCGAAGGAAACAUGUCUUCCAGAUGGCAUAACGGCUUGAGCUGAAUAGUGAUUUUCAAAUGUUAGUGUACACAGGAAUCACCAAGACAGUUAGUUUAAAAUUCAGUAAAUUGGGGAUUGGCUCCAAGCAUCUGCAUUUUGAAUUAGCAGCCCACAUUAUUUUUAUGAACAUUAAAGAUUUUGAAAAUCACUGUUAGAAAUCCUGAGACAAGACUGUAUCUGUUCAUAUCUACACAUUUAAGGGAAAGACCUUUGAAAGCCUUUUGUUUCAUCCUUUGGGAGGACUUAAGGUAUAUCAGCUAAGGUGUAUUAGUUAUCAUGUAAUAGUUCUUUGAUCUUUUAUCACACGUCAGAUAAAGAGGACAGAACAAUGUCCCAAAGUAAGGACAGGAACUUUCAUAUCCAUAUCCCUGCCUCUGCUCUUCCUCCAUGGAUGUUCCAAAAAGACCCAGGGAUUUCAGGAAGAAGAGAGACUUAGACUCUAGGUGGCUGCAGGGGUUAAAUAUAGGGAAAGGGAUAUGGUACACUCCUUCCAGAAUCAAGAACGCCUAGGUUCCAGAUCCUGGCACUGUUUUCUCUUGUUAGAGCUGUUUUCAUCCUGACUUGUUGGAACUAAUUGCUUUGACUCUGGUCUCAUUCCACUCUAAUUCAUCCAACACUGCUGUCAGAGAUUCCUUGAGAUACAUGAUUUUGAUCACACCUCUUUUAUGCUUAAGAUAUCCUCUUUUUGAGACCUAGCCCAAAAUCACUUUCAAAGAUGCCUACAAACAAACUCAUCACUCCCAAGCACUUCAUUUUUUAGGUUACCUCCACACUUCCAUGUAAAGUGUAUACUGCAUGACCAUUCUGCCACGGGUAUUCCACUAGAUUCUUAUAUGUAGGUCAUAUCUUCCAGCUAAGCCCAGAGAUUUUCAAUGAAACCUUUCGUUUUUCUCCUGUGUAUUUGAUAAACUUCUGUUGCUUAUUUAAGAAUCUCUGUGCACUAGUUUGGUUCUGUGAACACAGCAGGAAGAAAGUCAAAGUGAAUCACCUCAAGCAUAGCAGUCAUAGACUGAAUGCUGAUAGGCAGUUGAUUCAUACUAGUUUGGUUAUUCCUGUUAUUAAUAGCCACUGCCCUGAGCCUCUGCAUACCUCCAUGCCAGCCAGACUGCCCAGAGACUCUCUUUCACGUCCUCGUGAUCCAGCAAGUUAACAUUAACUCCUCACCUCAGAGGGGGUCUCACAGACCCUAGUCUAGCUCUGUGGCCCAUGUCCAUACUGAUACAUCAACAAUUGGGUCAUGUCAAUUUUUAACGUUCUAAUUAUUAUCCCUAGACAGCCACAGGGUCAUAUCUUCUGUGAAUACAAACAAUUUUAUUUCAUCUUUUCUAAUCUGUACACAGGUUAUUUUUUUU